UUCUACCAGCACUGCACCAUUAACAAGAUCCUAACCUAUUCCAUGUUAUUUCACAAAACAUACUUGAAGAAGGUGAGGGGGAAGAAUGAGAAUCCACCAUCUAUGAAAAUGGAGAUGGGAAUUCAGCUUGGACUAGAAAAGGAAGCUUUCUAAAGCCUGCUUCUGUAAGGUUCUCUGGACCCAAAGUCACAUACUGGGAAGGAAGAGAAGCCUUUGGAUAAACAUCAUGAAUUUUCCUGGAGCAACUGUUCUAUUUAAGAUUUUAUAUAAUAUUUUUUGGAAAGAAGGGAAUAGGUUUUAAAAAAUAUUUUCAAAAGUGUAACAUCCAUCUAUGCUCAUUUUAGACAAUUUGAUCAGUAUAAAAUAUUAAAUAAGAACGUUAAAAACCACUUGGACUCUUACCUAUCAUAAAUAACCACUGUAUUACUGGAUUUUGGUGAAUAUCUUUUAAUUGUGUGUGUUUGUGAGUAUGUGUUUGUAAUCAGAUUUUUUUAAAUUUGAGGCUAUAUUCUAGUCAGCUUUUUAUGUCAAUGGAUUUAAGAAUAUGUUACAUCACUUUAAAUGUAAUGUAUGGAUAUACCACAAUUUAUUUAACUAAUACCCUAUUAAUGAAUAUUUAAGAUGUUUUCUUUUCUUUUUUUUUUGAGAUAAAGUCUCACUCUGUUGCCCAGGCUGGAGUGCAGUGGCGUGAUCUGGGCUCACUGCAACCUCCACCUCCUGAGUUCAAGUUGAUUCUCCUGCUCAGCCUCCCGAGUAGCUGGGAUUACAGACACGCACCACCAUGCCCAGCUAAUUUUUGUAUUUUUAGUAGAGACAGGGUUUCACCAUGUUGGCCAGGCUGAGCUUGAACUCCUGACCUCAGAAGAUCCG
rnacentral:lncRNA from 1 species